rfam:Schistosoma mattheei strain Denwood, Zambia genome assembly, scaffold: SMTD_contig0001242
GCACUGCUGAGGAGUCCCACAAAGGGACGAAACGGCUGUCCAGUGU